AAACAAAAGAUGCAGUUAAGUAGAGAUUUAAUUAGGUCUUGAACCUCUCCAUAUUAAUUCUGGUUUCAGAACAGAAGGACCCAGAUAAAGGGUUCAAGCAGAUUAAAAGUGCUUCCUUUGAGCUGUUCAAGGAAAUUCCCAAUAGAGUUUCUGAUUUCACAGUACUCGUGAGUGGUGAUUAAAUUUGACUAUUUGCAAAUAAAGUUGGGCUCAGCUUCAAAGACAGAUUAAAACAGAACUUACAAUACAUAGAACGUAGGUACUUGGUUCGGG